GAUGAAGAACGCAGCAAAAUGCGAUAAGUAAUGUGAAUUGCAGAAUUCAGUGAAUCAUCGAAUCUUUGAACGCACAUUGCGCCCGCCAGUAUUCUGGCGGGCAUGCCUGUUCGAGCGUCAUUUCAACCCUCAAGCACAGCUUGGUGUUGGGACUCGCGUUAAUUCGCUUUCCCCAAAUUGAUUGGCGGUCACGUCGAGCUUCCAUAGCGUAGUAGUAAAACCCUCGUUACUGGUAAUCGUCGCGGCCACGCCGUUAAACCCCAACUUCUGAAUGUUGACCUCGGAUCAGGUAGGAAUACCCGCUGAACUUAAGCAUAUCAAUAAGCGGAGGA
rnacentral:misc_RNA from 1 species